rnacentral:lncRNA from 1 species
AUUAAAUGUUUUAAAUUGUGGACAUAAUUGCUCUUUAAUAAUUUCAAUUUGGGAGCCUCCAUGGGGGAAAUCCCCCGCAAAUAGUGACAGUUGGCAGGUAUGAUGAUUGUUCCAUUUUCACUCUGCUAGUGGCUGAAUAUCCUGGUAAAACUACAUACAGCUCAUUCUAAUUCACAAUAAGCGAGUCCUCAAAGUUUGUUCAGAAGGCGAAUCCAUCAAGAACUUAGUUUUGUCAUCUUUAUUUUGUCUAAUAACAUAUAAUGUAUCCGGCUUUUCUCUUAACAGCCUGAAAUAUAAAUAAAACAGCAGCAGACACAAGAAAUUGUUGGUAGAUUGUAAGGGGAGGUGGGUGGGUUUUUGAAACUUCCACUAAUCUAGAGCGAAGUCCAAAUGUGAGGCUUAAGUCACGUGAUAUUUUGAAGCGAGAUGCUGAUCCGAAUGAUGAAAUAUGUCUAUAAAGGAAAAUAAAUACACCAAUAAAAUCUUUUUCAUUAAUUUUGUUUAUUAUAUAAAUGAGAUAAACCUUAUUAUUUCACUUUCUUUAACAGUUACAGCAUCACCUGGUUUUUAUUGUUUUUUUUGUAGCUAUGUUAAAUUAGGUAUUCGAACUUGUACAAGUUGAUUAACCGUUUCUUGACAGCAAUGAUCAACAUCAUAUAAAUAUUACAUUAUUAAAAAUUUGCCAUACUGUAAAUGUGCCCGGCGUUUAACAUUUGCGCCGAUAUUUUCUUUCAAGUGCGCCGAUUUUUUCUUUCACUUGCACCGAUUUUUUCUUUCAUUUGUGCCGAUUUUGUACAGGUAAAUUACUGGUGAAUGUUAUUUGUUAUUUAUCAUUAUAAAGCUCUUCCGUUUGGCUGUCCAUAUUUUAUGAAUUGUCAAUUAUAACAUAUACAUAACUUCCCCCUGCUCACCGUGGGAAGAGCUGUUAAUUGUAAUGUGAAUGAAACGAUUAUAGACCGUUAUUCGACAGUUUUUGGGAUACGAUUGCUUUUAAGCAAUCUGUAGACUUAUACCAUUGACUCAGGGCCAUGCCCUCACGUCAACCGUCUUAUUCUAAACAUCAAGGAACAUCUCAUAUUCUUGAGAUUGUCUUGGUUUAAAUGGUAUAAGAAAAAAAAAAGGAUUGAAUUAAAACAACUGUCCUAUAAUGUUCUUCUCAUAAUCUUCAUGUUUCGAUAUUUCCCUUCACUUGUAUGCGUGUUUGUAACAACACGGAAAAUCAGAAUUAAGCAGUAUUUAUAUUUAGUGUUUUUAUA